CCGACGCGGGUACUGGGUGCAUUCCACCCGCCACAUUCCCCUGUGUGCUUUCACGCAGCGACACUUGUUGACGUCUCUUCGGGGGUCUAUUUCUGGAGUGAGAGUGGGCCUGCACCGUGGUGGCUCCUCUCAACGGCCCCAGGGCCAAAAGGAGAGGAAUGGGAAUGUGUUUCUGUGUGUGUGUUUAUUCCAGGACUCCCACUCAUGUGACCUUUGACCCUGCGUUAAUCAGUCACUGUCAGGAAGGGACCCCAGGAGGUGCCAAUGGACUGUGUGUGUAUGUGUAUGUGUUUGUGUGUUUACGGUUUGACCAAUCCAUGAUUUUUAUUUGUGUCAUAUCUGAAGACUUCCCUUGUCCUCUAUAGCCGCAUGGAAACAUGGAAGUAUAUUCUGGGUUUUGAUAAGAUGUCAAACAGCCGAAGGAGCACACAGCAGUUUGAUUCUGUCAUCUCAUUAUGUGACUCCCACACUGCACCUCUCUCCCCCUUUCCCCAUCCCCCAUCCCCUCAUCUCCUCACUCCUGCCACAAUGCUGAUAGACCAGCCCUGGUGUGCUGCAUCUAAACUCCCAGGCGCCCUCUUGUGUUCAAGACUUGGAAUUUAAGGUGUGCCCACAGACAUGAAGGUUCAGCCAGCGAGGAGCAUGCAGCUAGUCUCUCACCAGCAAACUGUAUGAAAGCAUCAUUUGAGUUUGUGUGUCAGCUGUAGGAGCCACAUGUGUGUUUAAGUCAGAAAUAGUCAUCAUUAUAUCAUGCAUUCUACACAACUUAACCUCCCCCCCUUUGAAGCUCUGGGAUCAGCACACUGUCCUGCCCCUGGGUAACCUUUCAGACUCUGUAAUCGUCACACUGCCUGGCUAUGGUAGUGAGCCGGAGUGGGUUUCACACUCCUCUCCUCUCUCUUCCGCUCCACCAGUGACAACUUGUAGAGCUCAGAUAAGCCAAACAGCAGACCUCCACAGGCAGAUAUUGCAACUCAAAUGUAGAGCAAGCUGCUAAUAGCACCAAGGUCAUGGGUUUGAAACCCAGGAAGCAUCCGUACUGGUAAAAAUACAUAUCCGUACAGUACUGUAGGAUACAUUUUGAGUAAAGGCGUCUACCACAUCUCUAAAUAUUAAUGAAGAUAGCAGGG
ensembl:lncRNA